rnacentral:rRNA from 1 species
GAUGAACGCUGGCGGCGUGCUUAACACAUGCAAGUCGAACGGAAAGGCUCCUGCUUGCCGUGGUCCUCGAGUGGCGAACGGGUGAGUAACACGUGGGUGAUCUGCCCUGCACUUCGGGAUAAGCCUGGGAAACUGGGUCUAAUACCGGAUAGGACCACAUUUUGGAUGGUGUGGUGGAAAGUUUUUCGGUGUGGGAUGAGCUCGCGGCCUAUCGGCUUGUUGGUGGGGUAAUGGCCUACCAAGGCGUCGACGGGUAGCCGGCCUGAGAGGGUGUACGGCCACAUUGGGACUGAGAUACGGCCCAGACUCCUACGGGAGGCAGCAGUGGGGAAUAUGGCACAAUGGGCGCAAGCCUGAUGCAGCGACGCCGCGUGGGGGAUGACGGCCUUCGGGUUGUAAACUCCUUUCGCUAGGGACGAAGCGCAAGUGACGGUACCUGGAGAAGAAGCACCGGCUAACUACGUG